rnacentral:rRNA from 1 species
GUUCAACGGCCGCGGUAUCCUAACCGUGCAAAGGUAGCGUAAUCACUUGUUCUUUAAAUGAGGACUAGUAUGAAUGGCACCACGAGGGUUAUACUGUCUCCUCUCUCUAAUCAGUGAAACUAAUCUCCCCGUGAAGAAGCGGGAAUCUGCAUAUAAGACGAGAAGACCCUAUGGAGCUUUAAACUUUCAACAAUUGCCCAAAUAAUAUUAAUUUCAGAAAACAAACCUUAAUUCAGCACUUUGAUUUUUAAGUUUUCGAUUGGGGUGAUCACGGAGCAAAACCUAACCUCCGCACUGAAAGGCCCUAAGCCUUAUCUAAGAAUCACAGUUCUAUGCAUCAACAAUUUGACACCUAUUGACCCAAUAUAUUGAUCAAUGAACCAAGUUACCCUAGGGAUAACAGCGCAAUCCACUUCAAGAGCCCCUAUCGACAAGUGGGUUUACGACCUCGAUGUUGGAUCAGGGUCCCCCAGUGGUGCAGCCGCUACUAAAGGUUCGUUUGUUCAACGAUUGAAACCC